rnacentral:rRNA from 1 species
CACGUAGGGUGCGAGCGUUGUCCGGAAUUAUUGGGCGUAAAGAGCUCGUAGGCGGUGUGUCGCGUCGGCCGUGAAAACCUGCAGCUUAACUGUGGGCUUGCGGUCGAUACGGGCAUCACUGGAGUUCGGCAGGGGAGACUGGAAUUCCUGGUGUAGUGGUGAAAUGCGUAGAGAGUCAGGCGGAACACCCGUGGCGAAGGCGGCCGGCUGGGCCGUCCCUGACGCUGAGGCGCGGAAGGCGUGGGGAGCGAACGGG